AGCGUUCGUCUAUCGUAGGUGAGCCUGCGGAAGGAUCAUUC
rnacentral:rRNA from 1 species